rnacentral:rRNA from 1 species
UACGUAGGGGGCAAGCGUUGUUCGGAAUUACUGGGCGUAAAGGGCGCGUAGGCGGCCUUCUAAGUCAGACGUGAAAUCCCCCGGCUUAACCUGGGAACUGCGUCUGAUACUGGAGGGCUUGAGUGCGGGAGAGGGAUGUGGAAUUCCAGGUGUAGCGGUGAAAUGCGUAGAGAUCCGGAGGAACACCAGUGGCGAAGGCGACACGCUGGGCCGUACCUGACGCUAAAACGCGACAGCAUGGGGAGCGAACGGG